UCUCCGUUGGUGAACCAGCGGAGGGAUCAUUACCGAGUUUACAACUCCCAAACCCCUGUCAACAUACCAUUUGUUGCCUCGGCGGUGCCUGCUUCGGCAGCCCGCCAGAGGACCCAAACCCUUGAUUUUAUACAGUAUCUUCUGAGUAAAUGAUUAAAUAAAUCAAAACUUUCAGCAACGGAUCUCUUGGUUCUG
rnacentral:misc_RNA from 1 species